rnacentral:rRNA from 1 species
GUAGGUGGCAAGCGUUGUCCGGAAUUAUUGGGCGUAAAUCGCGCGCAGGCGGUUUUUUAAGUCUGAUGUGAAAGCCCACGGCUCAACCGUGGAGGGUCAUUGGAAACUGGAGAACUUGAGUACAGAAGAGGAAAGCGGAAUUCCACGUGUAGCGGUGAAAUGCGUAGAGAUGUGGAGGAACACCAGUGGCGAAGGCGGCUUUCUGGUCUGUAACUGACGCUGAGGCGCGAAAGCGUGGGGAGCAAACAGGGAUUAGAUACCCUGGUAGUCCACGCCGUAAACGAUGAGUGCUAAGUGUUAGGGGGUUUCCCGCCCCUUAGUGCUGCAGCUAACGCAUUAAGCACUCCGCCUGGGGAGUACGCCGCAAGGCUG